GGUGACUUUUGAGAGGGUGGCUGGACAUAAAGCAAAGGAAUUAUGGGCAAAGUUGAAGGCAAGAAUUAAGAUAGGAGAAUGGAGUUAAAUUGCAAGUGUGUGAUGAUUAGAAUAUUUCAUUAUAGCCCCCUAAUAAUAUUGGGAGGAUAUGUUAUAUAGAGUAAUCACCAUGUGAAUCCCUUGAUUUAAAUAGAUCCAAGAUCCAUGCAAUUUAUUUAUUUGGGGUGCAGAAACAAAUUAAUGACAUGAUGGCAUGAUGACAUGAUGAAUGCGACAAACAGAAAAAAC
rnacentral:lncRNA from 1 species